rnacentral:rRNA from 1 species
GACGUAGGGCGCGAGCGUUGUCCGGAUUUAUUGGGCGUAAAGAGCUCGUAGGCGGUUUGUCGCGUCUGCUGUGAAAACUCAGGGCUUAACCCUGAGCCUGCAGUGGGUACGGGCAGACUAGAGUGUGGUAGGGGAGAUCGGAAUUCCUGGUGUAGCGGUGGAAUGCGCAGAUAUCGGGAAGAACACCCGUGGCUAAGGCGGCUCUCUAGUACGGUACUGACGCUGAGACGCGAAAGCGUGGGGAGCGAACAGG